UACGGAGGGUGCGAGCGUUGUCCGGAAUCAUUGGGCGUAAAGGGCGCGUAGGUGGCCACUUCAAGCGUGCGGUGAAAGUCGGGGGCUCAACCCCUGAUCGGCCGUGCGAACUGGGGGGCUGGAGCACUGUAGAGGCAGGCGGAAUUCCGGGUGUAGCGGUGGAAUGCGUAGAGAUCCGGAAGAACACCGGUGGCGAAGGCGGCGACCUGGUCCUUUACUGACGCUGAGGCGCGAAAGCGUGGGGAGCAAACAGG
rnacentral:rRNA from 1 species